GAUGAACGCUGGCGGCGUGCUUAACACAUGCAAGUCGAACGCUCGCAAGAGAGUGGCGCACGGGUGAGGAACACGUAGCUAACCUGCCUUUAGGUCUGGGAUAACGACGCGAAAGCGGCGCUAAGACCGGAUAAGCUCCCGGGUUGUAGAGACCAGAGAGAAAAGGGGCAAGACGCCUAAAGAGGGGGCUGCGGCGCAUCAGCUCGUUGGUGAGGUAAUGGCUCACCAAGGCAACGACGCGUAAGGGGUCUGAGAGGAUGAUCCCUCACACUGGGACUGAGACACGGCCCAGACUCCUACGGGUGGCAG
rnacentral:rRNA from 1 species